CCCUCUGGGGCGCAGCAGGAGCGGUUGCUCUCUCGUCAAGAGGACCCGGAGCAACGUUUAUCGAGGGUGGUGUUGCUAGUUCGACUGCUUUUUUCAUGGCUUCGGAUAUGGCAAGAGUUUCCUGCAACGAAUAUGUUGGAGCUGUGAUCGGCACGUAUUUUAUAGUUUUCACGGGUUCGGGCUCCGUUAGGGCAGCAAUGCCUCCUUUUAGUGCUCCUCCAGUUGCCACCACAGCCACCUUGGAACCCAGUCCCGUCGUGGGGAUAGGCGCGGACAGAGGCUUCAAUCCCUCGUUUCGAGCUGCAAGAAGCUCCGGUGUUAUCGGCACAUUUACACUAGAGGCUAUUGAUGAUUGUAUUGCUUGGGCGGGGGGGC
rnacentral:rRNA from 1 species